rnacentral:lncRNA from 1 species
AUAUAUAUAUAUAUAUAUAUAUAUAGUGGGCAGUAAUCAGAUUGUGGAAUUUCGUUUAUGAAGAACUCUACCCUUCAUUUGAAAAACCCAAAGCCUAAGCGUAUUAUAUAUGAACUUUCCCUUUUUGAUUCGACAGUGGUCAUGUUAUGAACUUUCCCUUGUGAAUUGUGAUAACAUCAGUUGAUUUGCUGUAAUUUUCAAACUAUGAAGCUGCUCCAUAACCGGUAACUCCACAUUGUUACUUCAUAUUUCACAUAUUCCCGAAUAAUAUUUUUUUAGGAAAAUAAAAGUUUCUUUUUGUAUGUUUGAUUUCCUUCACUUCACUUUUAACCAUUAUAUUACUUCUCCAAUCAUUUCUAUUUCCUGCACCCGCUCCGCUUAAUUUUAUGUCUCUUUCAUUUUGUUGGUUUUAUUUCUUUUUUAUCUUUUGGCUAGAAUUGUUAAUUCUCUUAUGAUAUAUUUUCGUACUUUUUAUAUAUUUUUAAGAUUAUAACAGACUUCAACUGAGGAAAGACAAGAUAUAUGGGAAUUACAUCUUGCACAUAUAGAAGUUACUUAACAAAAAGCUUUAGACAUCAAAUCGUCCUUGGCUUUAUCCUUUAAAUUAAGUCUCUCUUGUUUUUGUAAGUGUCAAAUGGAUUUCCACUGUAGUAAUGGUAAAUUUGGUUGUUAAUCCUAGAUUUGAACCUAGACUUAAGAAGAAAAAAAAAAGAGUAUAUGUUAUUUUUAUCAUAUUCAAGCUUACAUUAGAAAUUGAAAAGAAUCACCAUCAAGAUCAAAGAAUCACCAUCAAGAUCACAACUCGCAAAGUAUUUGAGCAAAAUUAGGUGGUAGAACUUUGAUUGAUAAUUACAGAUUUAUAAUUAAUUGACAAUUAUGUGUUAGAUAUUACAAUUUUAGAACUUGCCAUAAAAGGAUGAGAAUCUAGGUGCAAACAUUUGUUUUAGUUAGCUUUUACACAGAGAAUGAAUUAGCGCAAUGCAGGAAAUAAUAGAGCACAUUAGCAAGAAUAAAAAUAUCACAUACAGUAGGCUGUAUUAAGGCGCCCAACAUUUUUUAAAAUAAUAAAACACUAGAAGUACCGAUCGAGAACAAGGAGAAAUGAACAAAGGUAAAUCCACUCUACAGAAAGUAAUGACAAUACAUUUUUGUCCGUACACAUUUCAAAUCUCAUUUUAUUAAUUUUGGACACUCCUUAUUUGCAGAAAUGGGAAUUAACAAAGUAAAGAUAAACCAGAUAACCUUGGCAAGUACAGGAAACCUUUCCUGAAUUAUAACUAGAGGAAAUUCAGGGUCGUUUUUUGCUGUUGACAAUUCAUGCUGGCUGGUGCAAGGUUAGUGAAAUCUAAAGCCAUCUCAUUCUUCACUUCUCUCUUGUUCUUGGUCGUAGCUAUCUAUAUAUAUGCACAUUAGUCAUUUGGAGAAACAUGGAAGAUAUUUUUGCAGACUCCACCUAAUUCGUGCUAGUGGAAGAGAAGAUUUAUCAUCUAAAAUUUACCUUGUUCUCCAGAUGUUUGUUUUCUUCACUCAGCAGUUUUUCCUGUAGAGAAAGAGUCAAAGGGUCAUGCCUGCUGUCAAGCAUAGUGUAAUAGCAACUUUAACAUCAUAUUAGUUCGAGUAGAUAUUCUACGACAACUCAGCUGACUUGCAUAGAACAACCAACAUUUUGAUAGAGAAGGGUUCAUACGAUAGACCAAACUCUUAUUUUUCGAGAAAUGCUUUCCCCAUACCAAUUCACAUAUUUGGGCCUCUGUAGUAACCGAUCACACCUACCUUCUCACGAAGACUUUUGAUAGAUUCAAUCAUCAAAUGCGUCUGCAUAAAACAAACUAGUCAAAUCUCCUUCCAAGGAUAAACAAAUGUCAAAAUAUACUUAAAAAGAAUAUGCAAAUACUUCUAAAAUUACGAAAUAGUCAAAAUAAAUGACUAGCUUGUGAAACCACGAAACAUUUUCAGGUCCCUGGCUUUUGGACAAGAAAAUAAAUCAAGACAAACUUACAAAUUACUACCUGGUAUAAGAUUACAAGAGGUAUAAAGAAUGAGAACACAACUGAAGUACACUAGCUACGGGGUGUAACGGUCUAAAAAACGUGAUGUACAGAUCAACAUUUACCAGAGUUCUAAAAAAUGCAAAUUUAACUAGGAAAGUAAAAAACGUAGAGAGGAACUUGGUGUGACCUUGCUAGAUCUGACUUGCAUUAGAGCAGUUGGCAGUUGGUUUUCCAAAUGGACAAGGUCAGUUACACUGAGAUCAUCAACAGCAGGUUCCUCGAGUUGCCUUUCAAAUUGAGACAGAAGAUCAGUAGUAUUCCUUUCAAGAAAUGAAAGAGGAGCAUGAGGUCAGUACCUUCCUACCGUUUGUAACAGUUGUCCCACUGUCAUGAAGCUUGCAUAUUUAGAGUGCUAUUUCCACCUCACAAGGACAGAAAACUUUCAGCAAUCAGAACUGUAAAUAUUGAUCACUACUCUAAAUGCAUCAAAUAACACAUGAUGAAUUGAUAAUAAGUUAUUCCAUAUAAUAAUGGACUAUAAAAUAAUACUGUCAGAGGUUGUCCUUAUCAAAAGAAAAAAAUACUGUCCGGUUGUUUUGCUUUCAACAAAAUACUAACCAUGUCUAAGCACAAGUCAUUUAGAUGAACAAGACAAGACACUUGUUAGGUGCCAUGCCAUGAUGACAAGUUACCAUCAUUAAUCACUACAUACUAGGUUGGGUCAGAGGGCACACCGCACGCCAAUAUCCCGAUGUGCAUGUUGGUGUCUUUAGACGUAUUCAGGAUACAGGAAAUUACACUGGAUUAUACAGUUCAUUUGGAAAUAGUCUCUGACUGAUCAUAUAUCAGUAUGUAUUGACUAUGCAUCUAUGGGGUUGUUUGAUUAUUAUUCAGGGUACUGUACAUAAGUUAUUACUAGUUUACAGGCAGUGAACAUAUUUCAGGUAUCCAGAGAGAACUCUUUAAGUCAUCAGAAUAAACUGGAUUGCCAAGUCAACUACCCAUAUACCUCGGUGUCCAAAACUUCUGCAGAGCUCUCUUUUUCUGCUUCCACAUGGCUGUGGUAUCGAUGAACGAUCUCUGUGAGACUGAAACAUACAAAAGUGUGAGAUGCGAUUACUAAUGUGUAAGUACACAAAAUUGUAGGAUACAAUUAUUAAGUGAUAAAUUACUUAUUCCCUCAAGUUAUUUGAUGUUUAAGCAGUUAAGUUUACAUGUUCUAAACUAUGAAAGAAGCUGAGAAUUGCAUAAUCACAGGAAAAUAAUAAACUUAAUUGAUUUUAUCCAAUCCUAUAUAGUAUAUUUCACAAUUACCUCAAGCUGGUGUAUACUUUCUAGAUGUGCUUUAUAGUUUCUCCAAGGAGCUGCAAGCCCUCAUUUGUAUUUCUUGUGCCUUUGAUUUUUUUUUUUCCAUUUUAAUUCACAACCUCGUUAGCAUACGUUGACUUUUUUUUCUUUUUUUCCCUUUGGGUUGCAAGCCUGGAAGGACCUUUUAUCGAAGCAUAGAGUUCGUAUUUGGCCAACAGAAUGGGGUGUCUCGGUGAUGAUGCUACACAAGCUCCCUUGAUUGGUUUCAAAGGUGUGUGUUUUUCUACGUUGUUGUUGUUAACAUGAAAUAUCUUGAACUAGAAAUAUAAAGUGCAUGAGCAAAAAUGCUCUAGAAAGUUGACAUGCCAAAAACAUAGACGAGAAAAGAACGAGCAUGACAAUAAGAAGCAUCAAAUCUUGUUGAGGUUGCCUUGGCGAUAAGGAAAUAAUCUUCUAAAAUUUGAGAAAUUUUUUAAGGUGACACGAAUCGUCACAAAAUCAUAUCACUCGAAUAACCAUGCCAGGUAAAGGUGAUACCAUACUGUGUGGGUAUUCUAUUAUGAGGUAAAAGGGUGUAAAGCAUAUUAGAUGGACGUUAAAAGCUUCGUAUAACUUGAAAAAUCAUUCAUUCAUUCAUCUGUAGGAGGUCAGAGACCUUAUACUAACUUUCAUACUAACUUUCAUACUUAUAAUAGCAAUCUUUGAUAGAUUAGAACUUGAUUAACCGUAGUAUAGUAGUUUCAUAUUAGAAUCAAAGGAAUAACUGCAAUGGUCCUCGUAUGGCACAAGAUUAUGCUCUAGUAUGGUGAGAGACCUAGCACAAAAUUAUUACACCUGCGUGAGGGUCACAAAAUAUGUUUAACAUAAAGAAGCAAAGCGAGCAUCGGGACUAAGUAGAGUUGUUCCUCCAUGGAUCAACAAGCCAAGAUCAAAGAAGGAAUAGAUAGCGCAUCCAAAAAAAGACAAAGUCGAAUAAUAGCUAAAAACCUCAUUCCAGAAGGCACUCUACCACAGUUGUAUUUGAACAAUAGCUACAAAUGCCUAGUACUACCUUGCAUGAAGUGUAAUCGAGAUUGUGAUAUUGUGGAAUAUGUUGAUCUUUUCAAUGAGAUAAAAACUUGGCACCACACUCCAUAACAGCACUUCAGGACUUCCAAACGACGUUUUUCGCCAAGAUUAAGACUCUCUUAAUAACUUCUCUAUGCGGCUAUGUUGCGCGGACUCUCCUAAAUGCUGCUGCAUCCGUGUCAGAUCCUUAAAAAAUACCAUGUACCCGACAAAAUUUUCGGAGAGUUCGAGCAACGUAGCUCUAUGGAACACAAUCGUUAGAAAAAAUCUUUUUUUUUUUCCAACUAGAUUUUAAAACUAGUAAUUUCUAUUAGGUUCUACUUUUUAUCUUUCCCUACUGCCCCAUCCUUGUAGCUAGAUCAAGAAAGAACCAAAUCAAUCCUUCUUAUGAAGUGGCUAUGAAAAUUUCCAAAGGAAAAGAAAAAGCCAUGGUGCUCAUAUUUCGCUGCUAAGUGCCUCUCCAAUGGCAAAAAUGGAUUGACCAACCCACCUCGUAAAUAUCAUGCAUCUAAAGCAAAUACUCGGAAUGCUCCACGACUAAGUAUACCCAUUCAGACUCACUUUUGUUCAAUUAUAAAAAAGUUUAUCCACGACACAUCUCCAUACAUUAACUAGUUGAAUUCCAAAAUAUCUCCUUAUGGCGCACCAUUAUAGCACAACACUUUGCAAGCUGUCUUCCUUGUUGGAUCUGUGUAGAGUAGAAUAUCUAUUCUCCUUCUAUGUACUUGAUCUCGUAAAAGCAACUUAUGUCAAGAAGCCCGAAUUCCUAGUAAAUAUCAAAAAACUAAACAUAUGUGUAGAGUAGAAUAUCUAUUCUCCUUCUAUGUACUUGAUCUCAUAAAAGCAACUUAUGUCAAGAAGCCCGAAUUCCUAGUAAAUAUCAAAAAACUAAACAUUACCUCUUUCAGAAGACGAUAUUAAGAAACAACCAGUGUUAUCAAAGGCGUGUUUAAAGCGCGCUUAAGCCCUAAAGCGAAGCUCAAAACAUGUUGAGCGCUUCGCCUCGCUUAACGGGCGCUUCAGUGUUAUCAUCAAGGCUCUAAGGCAUACUUUUCCUUGCCAAUAAGUGUAAUCCUGAAAAGGUGACACUAAACAAUUGAUAUUUCACUUUAUCGUAAAUUCUCUUCAAUUUCUUUGUCAAUAUAUUCGGCAUUCAUGCUUAUAUAUAUUAGUCUUGGACUACACGUACAUAUUUGUAGUUUUUCUCCAUUUGCGCCUUUCUUCUUUAAAGCCAAAGCUUCAUUUGCGCUUUGCGCUUAAAGCCCCAACAAACUUUAGAGAUUUUUGGAAACGGAAAGAGGGAUUAAAGAUAUGAACCGUAUAGUCACAUAUUGUUAGAUCGCCAGACGCUUUCACUAUGUUACGGCUAAUAAGUUAUUCCGGAAAUUUUAACUAGGGGUAUAUAAUAAAAAAAAAUUACAAAAAUUUUAAAAGCUAAUAUUAAUAAACAUCUUUUGAAGUGUUUGUAAUGGAUCAGUAAAUUUAUAAUUGAUGUACCCAUUUUUUUAAGAUGUCUGAGUAAUAAUUUCCAUUAGCAAUAUUAUCAAUAGUCAUACUUUCAUUAUCCAACCAAAGAAAAAUAAAUUGGCAAUUUAAAUUCAAAUUGAAACUACAUCAAAAUGACUGAAUAGGGUUUUCCUAAUACUUUGGGUAUAGGUAAGAAUUUGGAUCACUUGGAUCAAAUUCUUUUUUUUUAGACCUUUUACAAGUAGAUAGAGCAAUAUAUUUUCUUUGGUUCAAUGUUGAAAGAAUGAUAUCUAGGAUUUUGAUUUUUUCCUUUACGGCUGUGGGUUGAGAAAAUAUGCAUAUAUCUUUAAAAAUAAUGGGUAGGCCGCCAACUCUAAUCCCUAAUUAACUCAAUAGUAUUCCAAUGCAUAAUUUACAUAUUCAAUCUUGACAAUCGAUGUUAGGGUUUCUUUCUCCUAAAUGUUAUUUACAAAGUUUCUUAGAGUUGAGAUUGAGGGUUUACUAAAUGAAGAAUUUAUAGCAAAAGGAGUAGAGCUUGAGUCGGCUAGUCCUUUUUUCUCAUCAUUUCUCGAUGAAAGAUUACCCUAUGACAAUGGACACCUCCAUGGUCGUUAAUUAGAAUUCAUAUGUUGUACCUGGUCGUUCAGCUCUGUUCCCUAUUGGAGAAAUGGAAGGAAUUUCCCCUUAAGUAUUGUCAGAAUUGAAAGUAUUCAAAUAGCAAAUCUUGCAUACAUUGAAUGCCUUUGGAUUUGAAAAAUUAACAUGCAAUGUUAUGCACAUUGUUCAUGAUUGCUACUCGUUUAUAUAUUUUGUGCUGCCACGUGAAACACUUACCAGUAUCACUGCCACGUUAAACACUUCGAUAUUCACCAAUUCAACUGCAUAGAGAAUUGUGUAGGCUGAAGAGGUUAAAGCUGACCAAGGCAUGAUAGUUUCAAGGCACCAUGCCCAAUAAGAUAAAUAUUCAGAGAUAGUCAAGGGAGUAAAGAUGACGACUAAUGAAGUUCAUUAUCAAAGACACGUGGAAACAUGCAUUGGAUCUACAAGUUGAGGAUUUACUAUCAAAGUUUUAUGACAAAACUAUUGGAGUAUCCAACCAUGUGCAUCAUUGACAUUCCGUCUUUCAGAGAUGCUCAACACAACAUUGACUUGAUUGUCGACUCUGUCAUUUCAAAUAUGUCAACAUAUUGUGUUAAUCCUAAAGUCCAUAAAAAUAUGCAUUAACAAGAGGAAGGAUUACUUAAAACUGAAUCAAUUCCGCAUGAGGAAUAUGUUUCAAAGAGGAAUAUGAAUUAUUUGAGGUAUGUUGGAGAAACAAGAUGAGCAAAAAAACCAACCCCCAUUUUCCUCUUAAAGCUCUCUCUUGAUCUCUCUCUCUCUCUCUCUCUCUCACACACACACACACACACACAUAUAUUCUUAAAAUUUGAAAUUUAGUUAGACUAAAUUUCAAAUUGUAUGUUAUAUUGUGUCAUAUUAUAUGUUAUUUGCAAAAGACAUAGUCCUGGUUGACGAGACGCAGGGUGUUGUUAAUGAGAGGCUGGAGGUUUGGAGACGGACCCUAGAAUCUAAAGGUUUCAAGUUGAGCAGGACCAAGACAGAAUAUUUGGAGUACAAUUUCACCGACAGCACCCACGAAACAGACAUGGAUGUGAGGCUUGAUACACAAGUCAUCCUCAAGAGAGAGUUUCAAGCACCUUGGGUCAAUAAUACAAGAAAAUGGAGAGAUUAAUGAGGAUGUCACAUAUCGUAUAGGAGAAGGAUGGAUGAAAUGUAGAUUCACAUCUGGUGUUUUGUGUGAUAAGAAUGAGCCAUUAAAACUUGAAGGUAAGUUCUACAAAGUGGUGGUUAGGCCUACUAUGUUGUAUGGGGAAGAAUGUUGGCAAGUCAAGAACUCUCAUAUCCAGAAGAUGAAAGUAGCUGAAAUGAGGAUGUUGAGAUAGAUGUGCAGAUAUACCAGGUUAGAAAAGGUGGGAGUGGCCCUAGUGAAGGAUAGAUGCGGAAGGCGAGGCUGAGAUGAUUUGGGCAUGUGAAAAGGAGAAGCACAGAUUCUCCAGAUUCAAGGUUUCAUUGUGAGGGUGUAAAGCCCCGUAAAAUUUCGCAAAUGAAUUCAAGGUUUCGUGGUACCGGAGUAGGCUUACGUGUUUGAGGAUUGUAUAAAAUCUUUUUAAGCUCGCCGCGACUCGGACUUUUAAAGGAAAAUUUUUGGCAGAGAAAUGUGUUUCUGCGGUCCAUUAUGCGACCGCAGAACAGGUCUGCGGUUCAUUAAAAUGACCGCGAACCCAGGCAGAUUUUUCCCAGUUCCAAAGGCCAAAUUAUGCGGCCUAUAUAUGGACCGCAUAUCAAUUAUGCGAUCGCAGACCCUGUUCCGGAGCUUCAUUUUUGGGUUUUUAUAAUCCGACCCUACUUUGUUAAAUAGACGCAAUGGACCAUUUUCGAGCAAAAAUCUGAUGUUUUAGAGAGAAGUGAGUGUGUUUUAGAGAGAGAAAACCCUAGGCUAAUUAUUCAUCAAGUCUUGCUCAAAUCUUGAAGAUUAACAAGGAAAACCCACAAGGACUUCAUCCUAAAGGUAAGAUUCUACACCCUAACCCUCAAUUUCGAAUUUUGUCUAGAAUUGGGUAAUUAGUAAGAUAAUUUUUGGGCAUGGGAGUUGUCCAUCUUGCAUGCAUGUGUUAUCAAGGGGUGUAGGAUGAUUGUUGAGCUAAAAUGGUAAAGAAUGGGUUGUGGGAUGAUGGAGUCCUCUAUAAAAGGACCUUGAAAUCUUGAUGCACACCUAGUGUUUGAUAAAAUGCUCAAAUGAGCUAGAACCAUGAUCAUCUUCCUAAUUUUGGUUCAAUUUGUUAUAUUUCUCAAAUAGCUUGAAGUUGCUAAGAAUUCCGGAACAUUUUAGAGUUUAAGGAAGCUUCAUUGAGGUAUGUUGGCUAAACUUCUCUCCUAGAAUUGAAUCCCAUGAUGUUCUUGUGAGUCCCGAGUUAUCCAUUAUAAAUUAACUAUUCCAAAUAAGCUUUGUGUUGAAAGGUAUAUGUUGAAAAUGUGUUCCGGAUGCUCUUAUCAUAUGAUGUUAUCCUUCGAAAAUGUGUUAAAAGCAUGAGUUAGGUAUAAAAAUGUUAUGACUCCAACUAGUGUUUCAAGUGAAGGCUAUUAUGCCAAAUUGUGUAAGAAGUCUCAAUGUGCAUAGGACUCUUAAUUGCUCAUAGGUGUACUAAAAGUCGUGAUUAAGGAUUCCUUGUUGUCGAUAAUCUAUAAAGAUGCUUGAAGGUGAAAGUAGUGAGUUGGGGAUAUAAAGUGUGGACACCGUGCCAAGAGUGAAAGUAUGCUUGUGGCCAAUAGCGCCAAUGAAAUGAAAUGAUGUGUGAAGUGUUAUGAAAUGAGCCUUGAUUCAACUAUUCCAAAUUUACUCCGAAAAUAGAAUUAUCCAAAAGCUUAUGUACUCAAGUCAUAUCCAAAUUUACUCCGAAAAUAGAAUUAUCCAAAAGCUUAUGUACUCAAGUCAUAUCCAAAUGUAGUUGUUCUAACCAAUGCUAGGCUUGGUAGGUAUAUUGUGUAUGGAGCCCUAUGAACGGUCUAUGAAACGCAUAGGUGUAUUGUCUAUGAAAUCUUAUGAACGGUCUAUGAAACGCACAGGUGUAUGUGUAUUGUGUAAGUAAACACUGUGAACGGACUAUGAAACGCACAGUUGUAUUGUGUAAGUAAACACUGUGAACGAAACGCACAGGUGUAUGUGUAUUGUGUAAGUAAACACUGUGAACGGACUAUGAAACGCACAGUUGUAUUGUGUAAGUAAACACUGUGAACGGUCAUAUAUAUAUAAUGAUUAAUUUUAUAAACUAAAAUACAUAUUAAAAUUAAUAAAUAAGAAGAAGAAUAAAAGGUGGGGAAAAAGAAAACCAGCGCCUGCCCUAGCUGUGCAGGCUGGAGGAGAAAAACUGAAAAAGAGAAGAGAAGAAGAAGAAAAAGAAGGAAGAAGAAAGAAAAAAAGAUAAAAUACCUUAGGGUGAGCAGACGCCUGGACUGGAAAAGGAAGAAGAAGAAAGAAGGAAAAAAAGGAGAAGAAAGGAAAAAAAAAUUACUUGGAGGAAGUCUCUGGCGACUGAAACCCUAGCAGCAGCAAUUGAUUUUGGGAAGAAGAGAGAAAUGGUCGAUCAAUUUGGUCUUAGGGGUCUGUUUUGUAUUAAAAAAAGACAGACCCAAACUUUCUUUUUUUUAAAAGCUGACCCCUUUCGACUGAAGCGAGCACUUUUGCGCUUCACGCUUCAAAGUCGCUUCGCGCUUCUUCGACUGAAGCGAGCGCUUCAUCUGGUCGAGUUGCCUCAGACAUGGAAAAGCGAGGAGCCAUCGCUUCGCUUCGCUUCUCGCUUAAAGCGGCGAAGCGAUCGCUUUUUAAAACACUGACCCUGCUGAAGCGACAGGUAUGUUCUGAUUUUUCUCCUCCUUCUUCUUCUUCUUUUUCUUUUUCUUUCACUGUUUAAACGUCCAAAAAGCAACGAUUUUUUUUUUUAUCUUCGGUUCUUUCUCAGAAUUGAUGCCAAUUUUUAACAGUGAAAGAAAAAAUUACCCAGUUUACUGUCCAGUUUUUUUUUUCUCCUCUGCCCAGUUUUUUUUAUUUUACCUCUAAUUUUUAUAUCCUUUAUUGUUAAUUCUUAUUAUCUUUCUUAUGUUCUAUGUAGUAGUUCUUUUAAUGGCGAAGAAGUUGAAGAAGUUGACGAGCAAUAUAAUAAUGAUAAUGGAAUACAAGAAUUUGACAAUUUUGUAGAAGAAUAGGAUGCUCAUUUUGUGCUUUAAUUGAUGCUAUUAUUUAGUUUUUACAUUGAAGUAUUGAACAUUUGCUUACAAUUACAUGUGUUUAUGCAUUAUUUAUUUUAAUUUUUUUUUUAAAAAAAUUCCGCUUCACUUCAAAAAAGCAAGCGCUUCGCUUCUCGCUUCUCGCUUUAAGCGAAAUGGGGGUUGUCGCUUUUUCUCUCUUCACGCUCUUCACAACACUGCAUAGGUGAAAUGUAUAGUUGUAAGGUGAGGGGGAUGUGAACGGCCUAGUGAGACGCAUGGUUAACGCAGACAUUAGUUUCCACUUUCAUUGGCCUUGCUUGUACAUGUUGUUUCAAUUACUUUAUAUUAUGUAUUCCACACAUAGUUCAUAUGGUCCAGUUAAUCCUAAACGAAGUUUUAAAUGAUGUAAGCAUAACGAGACUUGAAAUGUGAAUCUAUAGGAUAUUUUGUAGCUCUCGAUGUACUUCGUAUGCCUCUCAUUUGAAUUACCAUGAUUUCAUAUGUUGUUAUGUUUGCCUUACAUGCAAGUACUAUUUCACAUGUAUUCACGCCUAUUUUGCCGGGGGCACUGCAUCUUUUAAUGGAUGCAGGUAUACUUCUACAGGAUGAUAUGGAUCUUUGAUAGGGAUCUUCUGCGCAACAGAUCAUGGUGAGCCCGCUACAAUUCCAGUGGGUAUUCGAGUCUAGUUGGUUUUAUGUACUUAGGUAUCUAUUGUCAUAGAAACUCCAUGUACACUAUGGGUCAUGUACUUAUGUUUUGAGUUUCACCAUGUAUCUAUGUUCACAGACAUUCAUGAAACUAUGUACCUGUCAUGAGAGAAAAAGAAUAGUAUGGGCCAUUGAGCCAAAUGUAUUCAAUAUGAAAGUCAAGAUUUAAUUAUGUUUUGAUAAAUCAUGCAUGACUUAUGAUGAGAGGUUGAUGUAACAUAGGCUUGCUCGACUGGGUUCACUCGGUUGAGGCGCCGGUCAUGCUCCCCAAGUUCGGGGCGUGACAGAGAGGUUGACCUUGGAGGAUAGGAGUAGAGAUAGGCCAAAGAAGUAUUGAGAAGAGGUGAUUAAACAGGACAGGGAGCAACUGGAGCUUACCGAGGACAUGACCCUUGAUAGGAGAGUGUGAAGGUCGAGGAUUAGGGUAGAAGGCUAGUACGUAAUUGAGCAUUUUUUUCUUUUUCUUUCUCUGACUGGUAGCUAGUGUAUCUUUCUUAUUCGAAGAUUGCUAUUACUACAUACUGUUGAUUGAUAUCUUCCAUUUUGAUUUUCUUAUAAUCUUACUGUUAUUACUACUUGUUGUCACUUCUUCUUUUCAUUUUCUAUUUAGCCGAGAUUCUAUUGGAAACAGCCUCUCUGCCCUCCCAGGGUAGGGGUAAGGCCAAUAUUAUAUUUGUAGUUGUAAUCAAACAAAGAUUUUUAGUUGGCAUAUUCAAUUCCUACUAGAAUUCUUUUUUCUAUUUUAGUUAAGAAAGGUUUUUCUUCACCUUUUUCUUAUUGCAGUUUAAUUCGGAUUAGUUUUCCUUAAUCUCAUCACAUUUACUUAGUGUAACGCCUAUUUAAAGGGCUCAAUAUGUUGAAACUAAA